rnacentral:rRNA from 1 species
ACUUUCAGUCGUGAGGAAGGUAGUGUAGUUAAUAGCUGCAUUAUUUGACGUUAGCGACAGAAGAAGCACCGGCUAACUCCGUGCCAGCAGCCGCGGUAAUACGGAGGGUGCGAGCGUUAAUCGGAAUUACUGGGCGUAAAGCGCAUGCAGGUGGUUUGUUAAGUCAGAUGUGAAAGCCCGGGGCUCAACCUCGGAAUUGCAUUUGAAACUGGCAGACUAGAGUACUGUAGAGGGGGGUAGAAUUUCAGGUGUAGCGGUGAAAUGCGUAGAGAUCUGAAGGAAUACCGGUGGCGAAGGCGGCCCCCUGGACAGAUACUGACACUCAGAUGCGAAAGCGUGGGGAGCAAACAGGAUUAGAUACCCUGGUAGUCCACGCCGUAAACGAUGUCUACUUGGAGGUUGUGGCCUUGAGCCGUGGCUUUCGGAGCUAACGCGUUAAGUAGACCGCCUGGGGAGUACGGUCGCAAGAUUAAAACUCAAAUGAAUUGACGGGGGCCCGCACAAGCGGUGGAGCAUGUGGUUUAAUUCGAUGCAACGCGAAGAACCUUACCUACUCUUGACAUCCAGAGAACUUUCCAGAGAUGGAUUGGUGCCUUCGGGAACUUUGAGACAGGUGCUGCAUGGCUGUCGUCAGCUCGUGUUGUGAAAUGUUGGGUUAAGUCCCGCAACGAGCGCAACCCUUAUCCUUGUUUGCCAGCGAGUAAUGUCGGGAACUCCAGGGAGACUGCCGGUGAUAAACCGGAGGAAGGUGGGGACGACGUCAAGUCAUCAUGGCCCUUACGAGUAGGGCUACACACGUGCUACAAUGGCGCAUACAGAGGGCAGCCAACUUGCGAGAGUGAGCGAAUCCCAAAAAGUGCGUCGUAGUCCGGAUCGGAGUCUGCAACUCGACUCCGUGAAGUCGGAAUCGCUAGUAAUCGUGGAUCAGAAUGCCACGGUGAAUACGUUCCCGGGCCUUGUACACACCGCCCGUCACACCAUGGGAGUGGGCUGCAAAAGAAGUAGGUAGUUUAACCUUCGGGAGGACGCUUACCACUUUGG